ACUCUGGAGCCGUACUUGAUAAUCCAUCCUUAUUAUCAUCUUUUUUUGUUUUGACUUUUGCAGACUUGAAAAAGUUCAAUUUUUACUAUUGGUUUGCAUUUCCCUCCCCUGCUCUACCUGCAUACAGAAAUCAUGGGAAACCUGAUAAUCUGCCCGAAAUACUUUCAGACUCACAAUUGCGCAGUUUUGUCAACGGGCACUCAGUAUUGCCGAAAAGACAAAGAGGAUUUUUUGGAGUCAAAGUCAAUGACAUAGAUAGUGUUGAAGUCAUAACUCUCAAGCAGUACCUAGAACUUACCAAAAGUAAGUAAUUUAUUUCUUUUGCCACCUGAGUUUUCCUGCCAAGUAUCUCUUAUAGCCACUUAGAAAGUCAAAUUCACCUUGCUUUUUUUCGGGAAUAUCAAAACCAA
rnacentral:lncRNA from 1 species